rnacentral:rRNA from 1 species
CCUACGGGGGGCAGCAGUGGGGAAUAUUGGACAAUGGGGGCAACCCUGAUCCAGCCAUGCCGCGUGUGUGAAGAAGGCCCUCGGGUUGUAAAGCACUUUCAGUGAGGAAGAACGCCUGGUGGUUAAUACCCAUCAGGAAAGACAUCACUCACAGAAGAAGCACCGGCUAACUCCGUGCCAGCAGCCGCGGUAAUACGGAGGGUGCGAGCGUUAAUCGGAAUUACUGGGCGUAAAGCGCGCGUAGGUGGCUUGAUAAGCCGGUUGUGAAAGCCCCGGGCUCAACCUGGGAACGGCAUCUGGAACUGUCAAGCUAGAGUGCAGGAGAGGAAGGUAGAAUUCCCGGUGUAGCGGUGAAAUGCGUAGAGAUCGGGAGGAAUACCAGUGGCGAAGGCGGCCUUCUGGACUGACACUGACACUGAGGUGCGAAAGCGUGGGUAGCAAACAGGAUUAGAUACCCUAGUAGUC